UACGGAGGGUGCGAGCGUUGUCCGGAAUCACUGGGCGUAAAGGGCGCGUAGGCGGCAGGCCAAGCGUGCGGUGAAAGUCCGGGGCUCAACCCCGGAUCUGCCGUGCGGACUGGUUUGCUGGAGCACUGUAGAGGCGAGUGGAAUUCCGGGUGUAGCGGUGGAAUGCGUAGAGAUCCGGAAGAACACCGGUGGCGAAGGCGGCUCGCUGGGCAGUGGCUGACGCUGAGGCGCGACAGCGUGGGGAGCAAACAGG
rnacentral:rRNA from 1 species